GAUGAACGCUGGCGGCGUGCCUAAUACAUGCAAGUCGAGCGAACAGACGAGGAGCUUGCUCCUCUGACGUUAGCGGCGGACGGGUGAGUAACACGUGGAUAACCUACCUAUAAGACUGGGAUAACUUCGGGAAACCGGAGCUAAUACCGGAUAAUAUAUUGAACCGCAUGGUUCAAUAGUGAAAGACGGUUUUGCUGUCACUUAUAGAUGGAUCCCCGCCGCAUUAGCUAGUUGGUAAGUUAACGGCUUACCAAGGCGACGAUGCGUUUACGAAGUGAGAGGGUGGUCGGCCACACUGGAACUGGGCCACGGUCCAGACUCCUACGGGAGGCAGCAGUAGGGAAUCUUCCGCAAUGGGCGAAAGCCUGACGGAGCAACGCCGCGUGAGUGAUGACGGUCUUCGGAUCGUAAAACUCUGUUAUUAGGGAAGAACAAAUGUGUAAGUAACUAUGCACGUCUUGACGGUACCUAAUCAGAAAGCCACGGCUAACUACGUG
rnacentral:rRNA from 1 species